GAUGAACGCUGGCGGCGUGCCUAAUACAUGCAAGUCGAGCGAACAGAUAAGGAGCUUGCUCCUUUGACGUUAGCGGCGGACGGGUGAGUAACACGUGGAUAACCUACCUAUAAGACUGGGAUAACUUCGGGAAACCGGAGCUAAUACCGGAUAACAUAUUGAACCGCAUGGUUCAAUAGUGAAAGGCGGCUUUGCUGUCACUUAUAGAUGGAUCCGCGCCGUAUUAGCUAGUUGGUAAGGUAACGGCUUACCAAGGCAACGAUACGUAGCCGACCUGAGAGGGUGAUCGGCCACACUGGAACUGAGACACGGUCCAGACUCCUACGGGAGGCAGCAGUAGGGAAUCUUCCGCAAUGGGCGAAAGCCUGACCGAGCAACGCCGCGUGAGUGAUGAAGGUCUUCGGAUCGUAAAACUCUGUUAUCAGGGAAGAACAAAUGUGUAAGUAACUGUGCACAUCUUGACGGUACCUGAUCAGAAAGCCACGGCUAACUACGUG
rnacentral:rRNA from 1 species